rnacentral:piRNA from 1 species
UGUACCUUCUCACAGGAGUACUGCUCCUAAG